GACGAACGCUGGCGGCGUGCUUAACACAUGCAAGUCGAACGGAAAGGCCCCUUUGGGGGUACUCGAGUGGCGAACGGGUGAGUAACACGUGAGUAACCUGCCCUUGACUUCGGGAUAACUUCAGGAAACUGGGGCUAAUACCGGAUAGGAAUCCUUGCUGCAUGGUGGGGGUUGGAAAGCUUCGGCGGUGUUGGAUGGACUCGCGGCUUAUCAGCUUGUUGGUGGGGUAGUGGCUUACCAAGGCUUUGACGGGUAGCCGGCCUGAGAGGGCGACAGGCCACAUUGGGACUGAGAUACGGCCCAGACUCCUACGGGAGGCAGCAGUGGGGAAUAUUGCACAAUGGGCGGAAGCCUGAUGCAGCAACGCCGCGUGCGGGAUGACGGCCUUCGGGUUGUAAACCGCUUUCAGCAGGGGCGAAGCUUGUGGUGACGGUACCUGCAGAAGAAGCACCGGCUAACUACGUG
rnacentral:rRNA from 1 species